rnacentral:sRNA from 1 species
AGCGGCAUGGAUGCCGCUGGUUUAAACAGAAGCGAUGUUUCGGCUUCGACCGAAACUUGCCGUCAAAAGCGUACACGGAAGUACGCUUUUGACAGUGC